rnacentral:lncRNA from 1 species
UUUUGCUGCAAUUAAUUGUAGUCUCUUAAACAUAAUAAAAAUAGCCACCUACACCUAAACAUCCAAAACAUAGAAGAUGAAAUUGGCAUAAUACCAAACAAGCAAGCUGAAAUUAACACACCACAAACCAAACAAAGAUUCUAUUAUUCCAGUCCUAAACCUCACCCUUCUUAACUCAAGUAUAACUAAAAUAUUACCCUUCUUAACUAGUAUAACUAAAAUACAAAGGGAUAUGAAGCAUGAUAGUUUUAAACCU